GCUCGCGGUGGUCCGGCCGGUCCAGACCUG
rnacentral:antisense_RNA from 1 species